UCAGAAUCCUAGGUUUGAGCAAUCUUUCUGUGUAAGAAAGAUUUGUACCGAUGAGGGUAUAAUUAAGCAAUUUAAGGACAAGUGGGAUAAUGAGGAUGCUGUGUAUCUUAAAAAUACAAAUGAGGGUGGAUCUUUGAGUACUUUGCUGGAAAAGGGGAAAGAUGAUUAUGUAGUUGGGUCGUCAAACGUCCUUUCUGAGGAGUUUGAAAACUUUAGUGGAGAUUCUGACAAG